GACGAACGCUGGCGGCGUGCCUAAUACAUGCAAGUGGGACGCAAGGAAACACACUGUGCUUGCACACCGUGUUUUCUUGAGUCGCGAACGGGUGAGUAACGCGUAGGUAACCUGCCUAUUAGCGGGGGAUAACUAUUGGAAACGAUAGCUAAUACCGCAUAAUAUUAAUUAUUGCAUGAUAAUUGAUUGAAAGAUGCAAGCGCAUCACUAGUAGAUGGACCUGCGUUGUAUUAGCUAGUUGGUAAGGUAAGAGCUUACCAAGGCGACGAUACAUAGCCGACCUGAGAGGGUGAUCGGCCGCACUGGGACUGAGACACGGCCCAGACUCCUACGGGAGGCAGCAGUAGGGAAUCUUCGGCAAUGGACGAAAGUCUGACCGAGCAACGCCGCGUGAGUGAAGAAGGUUUUCGGAUCGUAAAGCUCUGUUGUAAGUCAAGAACGUGUGUGAGAGUGGAAAGUUCACACAGUGACGGUAGCUUACCAGAAAGGGACGGCUAACUACGUG
rnacentral:rRNA from 1 species